rnacentral:rRNA from 1 species
UACGUAGGGGGCAAGCGUUGUCCGGAUUUAUUGGGCGUAAAGCGCUCGCAGGUGGUUCGUUGCGUCGUGCGUGAAAGACCCCGGCUCAACUGGGGAGUGUCGUGCGAUACGGGCGGACUGGAGGCCAGUAGGGGGAUGCGGAAUUCCGGGUGUAGUGGUGGAAUGCGUAGAGAUCCGGAGGAACACCAGCGGCGAAGGCGGCAUCCUGGACUGGUCCUGACACUCAUGAGCGAAAGCGUGGGAGCGAUCCG